AUUGAACGCUGGCGGCAUGCCUUACACAUGCAAGUCGAACGGCAGCACGGGAGCAAUCCUGGUGGCGAGUGGCGAACGGGUGAGUAAUAUAUCGGAACGUGCCCAGUCGUGGGGGAUAACGUAGCGAAAGCUACGCUAAUACCGCAUACGAUCUACGGAUGAAAGCGGGGGAUCGCAAGACCUCGCGCGAUUGGAGCGGCCGAUAUCAGAUUAGCUAGUUGGUGAGGUAAAGGCUCACCAAGGCGACGAUCUGUAGCUGGUCUGAGAGGACGACCAGCCACACUGGAACUGAGACACGGUCCAGACUCCUACGGGAGGCAGCAGUGGGGAAUUUUGGACAAUGGGCGCAAGCCUGAUCCAGCAAUGCCGCGUGCAGGAUGAAGGCCUUCGGGUUGUAAACUGCUUUUGUACAGAACGAAACGGUCCUUUCUAAUACAAGGAGCUAAUGACGGUACUGUAAGAAUAAGCACCGGCUAACUACGUGCCAGCAGCCGCAGUAA
rnacentral:rRNA from 1 species